GAUCAGUUCUCAGUAUAAAGGUGAAAUUUUUGUAGUGUGGAAUAGAGUAUGGUAUUUUGUUCUUUACAUAAGAAUUAGCGAUCAAGUAUUUGUGGUCAGUAAUGAUAUAUGAAAUAGAGAUGAAGAUAAGAUUUAUUAACUAGCAGGGAUGAAAUAGCUUGAUUUGUAGUUAUGGAGUAUAGUGGAGUAUUUUAAUGGUUAUAUGGAAAAUUUAGAUGUAACAUGAGGGUACAAUAGGAACGAGACAUAUUAGUAAGAGAUUUUUAGGGAUAGGUGUAAUACUCGAGGGUAUAGAGGCUAUUAAGGAGAGUGUAGAGGAGCACUAGGGGAUUAACAUUGAAUCGUAAAGUGAGAGGUCUAUCUCUAGACUAGAGAUGAGGUAGUACUCAAAAUUUUUGGGAAAUAAGAGUGUGGUGAAAAUAAAGCUAUGCAGGCGCAUAAAGAAUAGGAAGCUAGAAUGUGAAAUGAAUGAGAAUUGACGGGGGCCCAAGCAAUUCGGUGGAGCAUGUGGUUUAAUUUGAAUCGUCGCGAAGAUCGUUGCCAGGUCUUGGCAUCCCACUGACCGGCUUAGAGAUAAGUCUUUCCCUUCGGGGACAGUGGUGACAGGUGGUGCAUGGUUGUCGUCAGCUCGUGUCGUGAGAUGUUGGGUUAAGUCCCGCAACGAGCGCAACCCUUGAUCUUAGUUGCCAGCAUUUAGUUGGGCACUCUAAGGUGACUGCCGGUGACAAACACGGAGGAAGGUGGGGAUGACGUCAAAUCAUCAUGCCCCUAUGACCUGGGCUA
rnacentral:rRNA from 1 species